rnacentral:lncRNA from 1 species
CACACUGCAACCAGAGCAGCCAUGUUAGUGAGGAUCAACACUCUUCUUCAAGGCUACUCAGGCAUCAGAUUUGAAAUCUUAGAAUCCAUCACCAAGCUCCUUAACAACAACGUUACCCCAUGUUUGCCACUUCGUGGUACAAUCACAGCUUCUGGAGAUCUUGUUCCACUUUCCUAUAUUGCUGGUUUGCUCACUGGCAGACCUAACUCCAAAGCUGUUGGACCUUCUGGAGAAGUACUUACUGCUAAGCAAGCUUUUGAAUUGGCUAACAUCAAUUCUGAGUUCUAUGAAUUGC